GGUAGAUUGAAAACUGGACGAAUAGCUAAGAACAGAGGGUAGUGAUCAGUGUCCCAAAGUCUAGCUGGCAGCCAGUAACUAGCACUAGUAUCAAAGAGAUAAAACUGGACAAUAGAGAUAGACUGGAUGGAUGGGCUCCAUCUGAAGGUGCUGAGGGACAGGCUCCAUCCUAGGGCGCUGAGGGAGUUAGCAGGGGUGAUUGCUGAGCCGCUCUCCAUCAUCUCUCAGUGUUCCUAGUUAUCUGGAGAGGUCCCAGAGGACUGAAGGCUUGCCGAUGUGACUCCCAUCUACAAGAAGGGCUGUAAGAAGGAUAUGGGGAACUACAGGCCUGUCAGCCUGACCUCGGUACCAGGGAAAGUUAUGGAGCAAAUCAUCUUGGGUGAGAUCACACAGCAUGUGCGUGGCAUCCAGGGGAUCAGGCCCAGCCAGCACAGGUUCAUGAAAGGCAGGUUGUGCUUGAUCAACCUCAUCUCCUUCUACAACUGGGUGACUAGACUGGUAGAUGAGGGAAAGGCUGUCGAUGUAGUCUACCUAGACUUCAGCAAAGCCUUUGACAUGGUCUCUGACAGUAUUCUCCUGGGGAAACUGGCUGCCCGUUGGCUGGACAGGUAUACCCUUCUCUGUGUAAGGAACUGGCUAGAGGGCCGUGCCCAACGGGUAGUGGUUAAUGGAGUUAAGUCCAGCUGGUGACCCAUUUUUCAAGUGGUGUCCCCCAGGGGUCGUUACUGGGGCCCAUCUUGUUUAUUAUCUUUAUUGAUGACCUAGAUGAAGGGAUUGAGUGUACCCUCAGUAAGUUUGCAGAUGACACCAAGUUGGGAGGUAGUGUUGAUCUGCCUGAAGGGGAGAUAGGCACUACAGAGGGACCUGGAUAGACUGGAUUGAUGGGACAAGGAAAACUGUAUGAGUUUCAAUAGGGCCAAGUAUCAGGUCCUGCAUUUUGGUCACAGCAACCCCGGGCAACCUCACAGGCUUGGGGAGGAGUGGCUGGAAAGCUGCCUGGUGGAAAGAGACCUUGAUGUACUGACAGACAGUUGGCUGAAUAUGAGCCAGCAGUGUGCCCAGGUGGCCAAGAAGGCCAAUGGCAUCCUGGCUUAUAUCAGGAAUGGUGUGGUGAGCAGGACUAGGGAAGUCAUCCUGCCCCUGUACUCGGCACUGGUGAGGCCUCACCUCAAGUACUGAGUUC
ensembl:lncRNA